CUAUUUUAUCUCUUUUUUUAUAACUAGCUUGGGACGAACGAAUACGUUACAACAAUUUUGAACAUGUGUGGUUAAUACUCACAGAAUGACUUGUGUUUGUUUUAAUUUGGUUGUCCAUAUUUUUACACGUGUUCUUCUUUUUUUCAUUAUACAAAAAUGAAAAAGGAUACACAUAUAACAACUCCUUUUAUUAAAAGUAUAAGCACCUUUGGGAGAACACAAAAGAUAACUAAACGUUUACUACUCGGAUACUAUAAAACAGACAAUUAUAUCCAUUUAAAAGAUGAUUUAAAUAUAAACAGUAUAUUACAUUUUUGUAAAAAUAUAUGUAGAAAUAAAUAUGUUAAAUCUAUUGGCUAUCAAAGAGCUAGCUGUGUUUUACUUGACCAGAUAAAUAAAUGUGGCAGUGGGAAUAAUAAUAAGAAUGAACAAUUUCUAUAUUUUAUUAAAUACUCUUUAUAUUACAACCCUUUAAAUGUUAUGUGUUUGUUUAACUUAGUUUUUUUUUAUACCAAAAUAAGAAAAGACCCCGAGAGCAGUCUUCGAUAUUCUCUUUUAUUACAUACUAUUUUGAUACGAAUUACAAAACCGUUUUUUUUUAAAACAGAAAUAAAUAACUUGGUGAAUAAUCGGCUACGUAAUAAUCGGGUGAGCCCCCCUUUGAAUUCCCGUGUAAGUACACAUAUAUGCAACAAUAUACAGCAUAAUAUACAACACAAUUAUAACAAAACAACUAAAAGAACAAAAAAAAAUAUAAAUAAAUUAAUUAAAAACAUAAAAAAAAAAAAAUGGAGUACAGUUCCUAAAUUAAAUGAUAAAAUAUUUGUUUUGUUAUUAAUUGAGAAUUUACAGUUUUUAUAUUUAAACAAUUAUAAACAGAUUUUUAUGAACGGAGUCAUAUUUUAUUCAAAUGUUUUGUUAAAAAUAAUACAAUUAAAUAUAAUACCUAAUUAUAUGAAAUACAAUUAUUUUUUUUUGCAUGCAAAUUUAUACCAAGUCAAAGCAACGUGUUUUUUGUUAGUACAUUCGGGUAUACAUAACACUGCGUCAUGUCAUAACUCUAGCGAUGUAUCCAAUAGGAAUACUGUCACUGGUAGUAAUAAUAAUAAUAAUAAUAUAAUAAAGAAUAUAAAAAUGAUUACCAAAGAAGAAAUAUAUAAAUUAUUACAUAGUUAUUUAAUG
rnacentral:lncRNA from 1 species